rnacentral:rRNA from 1 species
UGGGGAAUAUUGGACAAUGGGGGCAACCCUGAUCCAGCAAUGCCGCGUGUGUGAAGAAGGUCUUCGGAUUGUAAAGCACUUUCGACGGGGACGAUGAUGACGGUACCCGUAGAAGAAGCCCCGGCUAACUUCGUGCCAGCAGCCGCGGUAAUACGAAGGGGGCUAGCGUUGCUCGGAAUGACUGGGCGUAAAGGGCGUGUAGGCGGUUUACACAGUCAGAUGUGAAAUCCCCCGGGCUUAACCUGGGAGCUGCAUUUGAUACGUGUAGACUAGAGUGUGAGAGAGGGUUUGUGGA